GGAUUAGAUACCCUGGUAGUCCACGCCGUAAACGAUGAGUGCUAGAUGUCUCGGGUAUUGACCCCUGAGGUGUCGUAGCUAACGCGUUAAGCACUCCGCCUGGGAACUACGGCCGCAAGGCUAAAACUCAAAGGAAUUGACGGGGGCCCGCACAAGCGGUGGAGCAUGUGGUUUAAUUCGACGCAACGCGCAGAACCUUACCCGGGCUAGAAAAACAUGGAAGCCGAUGGAAACAUUGGUGUGCUCGUAAGAGAACCAUGGUUCAGGUGCUGCAUGGCUGUCGUCAGCUCGUGCCG
rnacentral:rRNA from 1 species